GACGAACGCUGGCGGCGUGCUUAACACAUGCAAGUCGAACGAAGUGGCGAACGGGUGAGUAACGCGUGAUCACCCUGCCCUUCAGAGGGGGACAACAGUUGGAAACGACUGCUAAUACGGCAUAAGGAAGUAGGGGAUUGCGUCUGAUUAGCUAGUGGGAGGGGUAACGGGCCACCAAGGCGAUGAUCAGGAGCCGGGCGUGGGGGAGGGACGGCCACAUUGGGACUGAGACAAGGCCCAGAAUUCUACGGGAGGCAGCAGUGGGGAAUUUUUCGCAAUGGACGAAAGUCUGACGGAGCAACGCCGCGGGAGUGAUGACGGCCUUCGGGUUGUAAAGCUCUGUUAAUCGGGACGCGGUACCUGAAUAGAAAGCAACGGCUAACUACGUGCCAGCAGCCGCGGUAAUUC
rnacentral:rRNA from 1 species